GACGAACGCUGGCGGCGUGCCUAAUACAUGCAAGUAGAACGCUGAAGGAGGAGCUUGCUCUUCUGGAUGAGUUGCGAACGGGUGAGUAACGCGUAGGUAACCUGCCUGGUAGCGGGGGAUAACUAUUGGAAACGAUAGCUAAUACCGCAUAAGAGUAGAUGUUGCAUGACAUUUACUUAAAAGGUGCAAUUGCAUCACUACCAGAUGGACCUGCGUUGUAUUAGCUAGUUGGUGGGGUAACGGCUUACCAAGGCGACGAUACAUAGCCGACCUGAGAGGGUGAUCCGCCACACUGGGACUGAGACACGGCCCAGACUCCUACGGGAGGCAGCAGUAGGGAAUAUUCGGCAAUGGACGGAAGUCUGACCGAGCAACGCCGCGUGAGUGAAGAAGGUUUUCGGAUCGGAAAGCCCUGUUGUAAGAGAAGAACGAGUGUGAGAGUGGAAAGUUCACACUGUGACGGUAUCUUACCAGAAAGGGACGGCUAACUACGUG
rnacentral:rRNA from 1 species